rnacentral:tRNA from 1 species
GGCCUUGAAGUAUAUAUUACGUUGAAUUGCAAAUUCAAAAAAGUAGCUUAAGUGUUGCCGAGGCUU